GAAGUACUCCCUCCGUUCGGAAUUACUUGUCUCGGAAAUGGAUGUAUCUAGAACUAAAAUACAUCUAGAUACAUCCAUUUCUACGACAACUAAUUCCGAACAGAGGGAGUACGAC
rnacentral:pre_miRNA from 1 species